rnacentral:rRNA from 1 species
UACCAGCACCCCGAGUGGUCGGGACGAUUAUUGGGCCUAAAGCAUCCGUAGCCGGUCAUGCAAGUCCUCCGUUAAAUCCACCUGCUUAACAGAUGGGCUGCGGAGGAUACUAUAGAGCUAGGAGGCGGGAGAGGCAAGCGGUACUUAGUGGGUAGGGGUAAAAUCCGUUGAUCCAUUGAAGACCACCAGUGGCGAAGGCGGCUUGCCAGAACGCACUCGACGGUGAGGGAUGAAAGCUGGGGGAGCAAACCGG